UACGUAGGGGGCAAGCGUUGUCCGGAUUUAUUGGGCGUAAAGCGUGCGCAGGCGGUGAUGUAAGACAGAUGUGAAAUCCCCGGGCUCAACCUGGGAACUGCAUUUGUGACUGCAUCGCUGGAGUGCGGCAGAGGGGAUGGAAUUCCGCGUGUAGCAGUGAAAUGCGUAGAUAUGCGGAGGAACACCGAUGGCGAAGGCAAUCCCCUGGACCUGUACUGACGCUCAUGCACGAAAGCGUGGGGAGCAAACGAGG
rnacentral:rRNA from 1 species